rfam:TPA: Aspergillus nidulans FGSC A4 chromosome VI
GCACUAGUGGUCCAACGGUAGGAUAUUCGCCUUCCAAGCGAACGGCCCGGGUUCGACUCCCGGCUGGUGCA